AUACUACCUUGGAGAAUAAAGACCAUUACUACUAAUGUGGCAAGCCUGCUGGAGAGGAGGUCCAACAGGUUUAUAAAUACUCUAUCUUAUUUUUCUAUCAUCACAAUUUGGACAUAUCUUCCAUUUCAAAAUAACCAACUCUUAACUUUGUCUCCUAGCCAUUCUGCAUGGUGGAGUGUUGCUGCAGUUUGGCUUCCAAGUCUCAUCAACAGUCAGGAAAGAAGUAACUGUCUGCUCCAGCUCUUUUAUGGCUUUAAGAGGAACUUAAGACGGAAUUCAGCGGCUACCUUUUGUGGAGAGACUAAAAAGAUUGGGAGUCUUCAGCAGUGAAAAGAGAAGGUGGGGAAGAGAAGUGAUGACAUCAUGAAAAUUCUGGAUAAGGUAGGAGCAAAAUUUCUGUUCA
rnacentral:lncRNA from 1 species